AUGCUCUUGUUAGCAUAUAUUCUAAAAUUAGAAAAAUACAAAUAAGGUUUGCAUGGCCCCUGCAUAUGACACACUAAUUCAUGAAGUGUUUCAUAUUUUA
ensembl:snRNA U6 U6 spliceosomal RNA